GCCUGAGUGGCUCAGUGGUUGAGUAUCUGCCUUCUGCUCAGGGGGUGAUCUUGGGGUCCUGGGUUGGAGUCCCAAAUCAGGCU
rnacentral:tRNA from 1 species